rnacentral:rRNA from 1 species
GACGAACGCUGGCGGCGUGCUUAACACAUGCAAGUCGAACGGUAAGGCCCUUCGGGGUACACGAGUGGCGAACGGGUGAGUAACACGUGGGUGAUCUACCCUGCACUUCGGGAUAAGCCUGGGAAACUGGGUCUAAUACCGGAUAGGACCACUGCCUGCAUGGGUGGUGGUGGAAAGCUUUUGCGGUGUGGGAUGGGCCCGCGGCCUAUCAGCUUGUUGGUGGGGUGAUGGCCUACCAAGGCGACGACGGGUAGCCGGCCUGAGAGGGUGACCGGCCACACUGGGACUGAGAUACGGCCCAGACUCCUAUGGGAGGCAGCAGUGGGGAAUAUUGCACAAUGGGCGCAAGCCUGAUGCAGCGACGCCGCGUGAGGGAUGACGGCCUUCGGGUUGUAAACCUCUUUCAGCACCGACGAAGCGCAAGUGACGGUAGGUGCAGAAGAAGGACCGGCCAACUACGUGCCAGCAGCCGCCGCCG